rnacentral:rRNA from 1 species
AGUCGACGAACUUCUUUAUCACCGAGUGCUUGCACUCACCGGUAAAGGGUUGAGUGGCGAACGGGUGAGUAACACGUGGGCAACCUGCCCAAAAGAGGGGGAUAACACUUGGAAACAGGUGCUAAUACCGCAUAACCAUAGUUACCGCAUGGUAGCUAUGUAAAAGGUGGCUAUGCUACCGCUUUUGGAUGGGCCCACGGCGCAUUAGCUAGUUGGUGGGGUAAAGGCUUACCAAGGCAAUGAUGCGUAGCCGAACUGAGAGGUUGAUCGGCCACAUUGGGACUGAGACACGGCCCAAACUCCUACGGGAGGCAGCAGUAGGGAAUCUUCCACAAUGGGCGAAAGCCUGAUGGAGCAACGCCGCGUGGGUGAAGAAGGUCUUCGGAUCGUAAAACCCUGUUGUUAGAGAAGAAAGUGCGUGAGAGUAACUGUUCACGUUUCGACGGUAUCUAACCAGAAAGCCACGGCUAACUACGUGCCAGCAGCCGCGGUAAUACGUAGGUGGCAAGCGUUAUCCGGAUUUAUUGGGCGUAAAGGGAACGCAGGCGGUCUUUUAAGUCUGAUGUGAAAGCCUUCGGCUUAACCGGAGUAGUGCAUUGGAAACUGGGAGACUUGAGUGCAGAAGAGGAGAGUGGAACUCCAUGUGUAGCGGUGAAAUGCGUAGAUAUAUGGAAGAACACCAGUGGCGAAAGCGGCUCUCUGGUCUGUAACUGACGC